rnacentral:rRNA from 1 species
CCUACGGGUGGCAGCAGUGAGGAAUAUUGGUCAAUGGACGAGAGUCUGAACCAGCCAAGUAGCGUGAAGGAUGACUGCCCUAUGGGUUGUAAACUUCUUUUAUAUGGGAAUAAAAUGUUCCACGUGUGGGAUUUUGUAUGUACCUUAUGAAUAAGGAUCGGCUAACUCCGUGCCAGCAGCCGCGGUAAUACGGAGGAUCCGAGCGUUAUCCGGAUUUAUUGGGUUUAAAGGGAGCGUAGGUGGAUUGUUAAGUCAGUUGUGAAAGUUUGCGGCUCAACCGUAAAAUUGCAGUUGAAACUGGCAGGCUUGAGUACAGUAGAGGUAGGCGGAAUGCGUGGUGUAGCGGUGAAAUGCUUAGAUAUCACGAAGAACUCCGAUUGCGAAGGCAGCUCACUGGACUGCAACUGACACUGAGGCUCGAAAGUGUGGGUAUCAAACAGGAUUAGAUACCCCAGUAGUC